AGUCUGACGGAGCAACGCCGCGUGAGUGAUGAAGGCUUUCGGGUCGUAAAACUCUGUUGUUAGGGAAGAACAAGUACGAGAGUAACUGCUCGUACCUUGACGGUACCUAACCAGAAAGCCACGGCUAACUACGUGCCAGCAGCCGCGGUAAUACGUAGGUGGCAAGCGUUAUCCGGAAUUAUUGGGCGUAAAGCGCGCGCAGGCGGUUUCUUAAGUCUGAUGUGAAAGCCCACGGCUCAACCGUGGAGGGUCAUUGGAAACUGGGGAACUUGAGUGCAGAAGAGAAAAGCGGAAUUCCACGUGUAGCGGUGAAAUGCGUAGAGAUGUGGAGGAACACCAGUGGCGAAGGCGGCUUUUUGGUCUGUAACUGACGCUGAGGCGCGAAAGCGUGGGGAGCAAACAGGAUUAGAUACCCUGGUAGUCCACGCCGUAAACGAUGAGUGCUAAGUGUUAGAGGGUUUCCGCCCUUUAGUGCUGCAGCUAACGCAUUAAAGCACUCCGCCUGGGGGAGUACUGUCGCAAGACUGAAACUCAAAGGAAUUGACGGGGGCCCGCCACAAGCGGUGGAGCAUGGUGGUUUUAAUUUCGAAGCAACGCGAAGAACCAUUACCAGGUCUUGGACAUCAUCUGACAACUCUA
rnacentral:rRNA from 2 species